rnacentral:rRNA from 1 species
CGGCACGCCUUAUACAUGCAAGUCGAACGAAGUAGCAAUACUUAGUGGCAGACGGGUGAGUAACAUGUGGGUAUCUUCCCUUUGGUGAGGAAUAACACGAGGAAACUUGUGCUAAUACCUCAUAAGUCUUUACGGAGAAAGCUUUAUGCGCCAAUGGAUGAGCCUGCACUUGAUUAGUUUGUUGGUGGGGUAAUGGCCUACCAAGACUUUGAUCAAUAGCUGAUCUGAGAGGAUGAUCAGCCACAUUGGGACUGAGACACGGCCCAAACUCCUACGGGAGGCAGCAGUAGGGAAUAUUGCACAAUGGAGGAAACUCUGAUGCAGCGAUGCCGCGUGAGUGAAGAAGGCCCUUGGGUUGUAAAGCUCUUUCGUCGGGGAAGAAAAUGACUGUACCCGAAUAAGAAGGUCCGGCUAACUUCGUGCCAGCAGCCGCGGUAAUACGAAGGGACCUAGCGUAGUUCGGAAUUACUGGGCUUAAAGAGUUCGUAGGUGGUUAAAAAAGUUGGUUGUGAAAUCCCGGAGCUUAACUCCGGAACUGCAAUCAAAACUUUUUAGCUAGAGUAUGAUAGAGGAAAGCAGAAUUUCUAGUGUAGAGGUGAAAUUCGUAGAUAUUAGAAAGAAUACCAAUUGCGAAGGCAGCUUUCUGGAUCAUUACUGACACUGAGGAACGAAAGCAUGGGUAGCGAAGAGGAUUAGAUACCCUCGUAGUCCAUGCCGUAAACGAUGUGUGUUAGACGUUGGAAAUUAAUUUUUAGUGUCGCAGCGAAAGCAAUAAACACACCGCCUGGGGAGUACG